rnacentral:rRNA from 1 species
GAUGAACGCUGGCGGCGUGCCUAAUACAUGCAAGUCGAGCGAACAGACGAGGAGCUUGCUCCUCUGACGUUAGCGGCGGACGGGUGAGUAACACGUGGAUCACCUACCUAUAAGACUGGGAUCACUUCGGGAAACCGGAGCUAAUACCGGAUAAUAUAUUGAACCGCAUGGUUCAAUAGUGAAAGACGGUUUUGCUGUCACUUAUAGAUGGAUCUGCGCCGCAUUAGCUAGUUGGUAAGGUAACGGCUUACCAAGGCAACGAUGCGUAGCCGAACUGAGAGGGGGAUCGGCCACACUGGAGCUGAGACACGGUCCAGACUCCUACGGGAGGCAGCAGUAGGGAAUCGUACGCAGUGGGCGAAAGCCUUACGGAGCAACGCCGCGUGAGUGAUGGAGGUCUUCGGAUCGUAAAACUCUGUUAUUAGGGAAGAACAAAUGUGUAAGUAACUAUGCACGUCUUGACGGUACCUAAUCAGAAAGCCACGGCUAACUACGUG